CCUACGGGAGGCAGCAGUGGGGAAUAUUGCACAAUGGGGGAAACCCUGAUGCAGCGACGCCGCGUGAGUGAAGAAGUAUUUCGGUAUGUAAAGCUCUAUCUGCAGGGAAGAAAAUGACGGUACCUGACUAAGUAGCCCCGGCUAACUACGUGCCAGCAGCCGCGGUAAUAAGUAGGGGGCAAGCGUUAUCCGGAUUUACUGGGUGUAAAGGGAGCGUAGACGGCCAGACAAGUCAGAAGUGAAAGCGCAGGGCUCAACCCUGGGAGUGCUUUUGAAACUGCCGGGCUGGAGUGCAGGAGAGGUAAGCGGAAUUCGUGGUGUAGCGGUGAAAUGCGUAGAUAUUAGGAGGAACACCGGUGGCGAAGGCGGCUUACUGGACUGUAACUGACGUUGAGGCUCGAAAGCGUGGGGAGUAAACAGGAUUAGAUACCCUUGUAGUC
rnacentral:rRNA from 1 species